GGCUCUGUUUGGAAGCAGCAGCCACAUGGCUAGCCAGGAGCCGCAGAGUAGCUGGAUGCAGAGAAAAUUCCCCAGGAAUCGUAUGCAGAGCAGUUUGUGGAACAGGCUGUGAUUGCUGGCUGCAGAUGUUGUAUACAAGGUCAGAGGAAGAAGCAUGAGCAGAGGAGUAUUUUGUUUUUGGCAUGGUAACCCAAGAAAGAAACAAGUGACAGCUGACUGGGCCAAGUCCAAGAGCCACAUGUCCAGGUUUUGUAAGCAAACAUAAAAAAUACUGGCUUAAAAAAAUCACUAGCACUGUAAGAGAACCCUAAUAAAGCAAAACACAGGAACUGAUUCUUUUCCUGAUCACACUAGUUCUAUACCAGUACAACUCCACUGACUUCAGCAGAGGUACUUCCGAUUGACAUGGGUGUAAGUAAUUGGACAUUCAGACACUAUGGGGCACAAAGAGAACAGCAAAAAGAGAAGAAUACAAAUCACA